ACUAAUCGGCACCUUGCCCAAGAACAGAACUUUGAACCCUCGGGUGGUGCGGCUCAUGGAACGCUACUUCACUGAAGCAGUUGCAGCCUGGCCAUUUCCCUGGAUCAGCAGUUCCUGAAUUUAUGUGAUCACAGAACAUUUUCAACACAACAAUAAGAUGACAGAACACCAUGAGCUAUAAUGCAUGCUUGAAUGAAAGCAAUGAAAAAUGGCCUCACAGACAAAUUCUCUGCUGCAAGGAAUGAUAAAAAUGUGAUAUACAGGGUUAAUGUACGAGAUACAUUGCAUAAAAGAUCCCGAAUAAGAAAAGGUACAGAGUGUGGAGCUGCAAUACUUGAUGGGAUGGCAGACGUGCUGAUGGUUUGGUAAACAGAACACCUCGGGAAAGAACAUUUGAGUGGCUUCUUCAGCCAAUGAUGGAUUAAUCUUCACUCUUUCUUGGGGACAGGAGAUAUCCACCUGAAGCACGACCAACAGGCGGCUGUGGCGAAGGGACAAGGUAUAGGAUUAGUAGACAUAAAAUUCUGCUGUGUAGUAAAGAAUUUAACCUUGGCCCCAGGGAAGUCAGGCCUUUGCUCUUGGAUCCUGGGAGGCCAUCUCUAAGCCCUUGGAAUGUGCUGUCUAAUAAAAACUUCUUUGUUUACCUGGGGGUGCUGGGCCAUGCCAGAGUCCAACAAUGUGAUUUAUGGUGGGGUUGGGUAACAUGGUAUCAGCUCAACCUCUAGAGGGGCUGGAGAUUGAGGUCAGCCACAUGACAAAGCCCCAGUCAAGGCUCUGGAGAGCUUCCGUGGUUGGCAGUACUCCCUGCAUACUGGACACACUGUUGCCAGGAGGAGUUAACACUGUGCAUGACUCCUCAGCAGGAGGACAGCUGGAAGCUCUGCAUUUGGAACUCUCCCGGACUCUCUGCCCCGUGCAUCUCUUUCCUUGGCUGAUUUUAAGCUGUUGACUUUCACUGUAAUAAACCGUAGCUGUUAAUAUAAUCGCUUUUAGUAAGCUCUGUGACUCUUCUAGUGAAUUAUUGAAACUGAGGGCGAUCUUGGGGAUGCCUGAACUUGAAAUUGGUAUCAGUAGUGAUGGUGGUUUAGUGGACUGUUCCCCAACUUUGCACCUGCUCUGCGUGGACUCAGGCAAUGUCAUUCACUUCCAGACCUCCCGGGGUUCUAUCUGCAGACGUGCUGGCAAUGGC
rnacentral:lncRNA from 1 species